CUGGAAUCAAAGGAAGCAUCGGAUUUGAGGGGGGGGGGGGGGGUUUCGAACAUUCUCUUGGCUAUUUCGAGUUGAUUUCUCUUCGAAGUUGUGUCGUCUCCAUUUUUGUGGUUACAGUGGCCGAGCUUUUUGUUUUCACAGCGAUGGGUUUUAUGGGUUUACAUUGGUUUUGAAAUUCAAAUUGAUCUCGGUUCGGUUUACUUUGGUUUAGAGAAGAAAACCAAAAAAAAUAAGACACGCGAUGGGUUUUUGAGAAUGAGGUGCGUGGAUCCAAAAAGGCAUGAUUUUUGUGGAUUAACCCCCUUUAGAAAUCGUAGACACGCGCUCAACGCGACAUGGGUGAGACUGAGUGUGGAAUCACACGAUUGGUAAAAGUGGGGUAUGAAGUGGAGCUCUCCCAUUGGCUAAAAAACUAAAAAUAGUAGACAUGUAGCUCCUAUCCUCCUCUGAUAAAAUUUAUGCUUCUUAUUUACGAAAUUUUGCUCAACAAGAUGCGAAAGAGUAAGAGAGCAACCUGAAACCUGAGAGUUAAGGAUCUGAAAGAGAACACCUCUGAGAAAGUUCAACAGUCACGUAACUGGAUUUCUGCAAUACUUCCCUGUUACGAAGCAAUCACCAAAAAAUGUAGUUAGAACACAGUGAUUAAUUUGUAAGAGAAGUACAUAAGUAGAAGAAAAAUGAACUUCCCAAUUGCUACUAGACCAAUGUCAAAAUAUAACACUGCACUGCAUAGACGAGUGCAAUAUAGUUGAGAUGAAACACUUACCUCCUUGCAAAGACGGUAGAGACGCAGAGGAUUGAGUACUUUCUUCAUCAAGUCUCAGCAAGAUGAAUGCAGAGGAUUGAAUACUCUAAAUCUGUCCUAAGAUCUUUCCUCAAGAAGAUUUUAUAUAAUUUGACAAGCUUUUUCAAAGGCUGGUCUAAGCAGAAGAUUGAAUAUAUCAUGUUGCCCCAGUACAACACAAGAUAAUAUAUGCAGAAACUUGAAUUCUUCUUUUUUCUUAGCAGAGAAACUUGAAUCUCAGAGAUUAUUGGAUAUCAUUUCAAGUAUUUUAUAACGUCGUCCCA